UGGUAAGCAAAUUGGAGUGGGUCUUGGGUAUCAGGUAGGGUGGAGGUGAUAUGAUCCUUGACUAGACUCUCAAAGCACUUCAUGAUGACAGAAGUGAGUGCUAUAGUUGUUUAGCUCAGUUACCUUAGCUUGCUUGGGAAUAGGAACAAUGGUGGCCCUCUUGAAGCAUGUGGGCACAGCAGACUGGGAUAGGGAUUGAUUGAAUAUGUCAGUAAACAUACCAGCCAGCUGGUCUGCGCAUGCUCUGAGGACGCGGAUGUGAUGGCGUCAACCUUGCGAGGGUUAACAUGUUUAAAUGUUUUACUCAAGUUGGCCCCGGUGAAGGAGAGCCUACAGGUUUUGGUAGCGGGCCGUGUCAGUGGCACUGUAUUGUCCUCAAAGCGAGCAAAGAAGUUGUUUAUUUUUGUCUGGGAGCAGGACGUCGGUGUCUGUGACGGAGGUGGUUUUAUUUUUGCAACCCUUGCUCGUGUUGUCAAGACACUGGACAUUGGCGAGUAGUAUACUCAGGAGCAGUGAGCGAUGUGCACGUCUACAGAGCCUGACUAGGAGGCCGCUCCGUCUGUCCCUUCUGCAGCGCCGUUGUUUUGGUUCGGCUACUAAAUCCAUUGUCCUGGGUGGUGGUCCAAACAAAGAAUCCACUUCGGGAAAGUCGUAUUCCUGGUCGUAAUGUUGUUUUCUACUAGGGUAAAGAGCAGGGCCCUGUGGACCACUGCUACUCAGUUGACAGAAAAUCCAAGGCAGGCUCAGUGACAACCUUCCGCCUCCCCACUACCCUACAGGACAAGGACCAGGCAGACACAACCCAUUCCUCUCUGCACUACCUCCGCCCCAGUGGACCCUCUAUGUUCUGUCCUAAGACCAUAAGCAGGAACAGGGACAGCCUUUGCCUUCCCCUUCUACCCAUGCCCCAGAGGAAACUCUCUAUCCAGUCUACAGAAGACCAUAGGCAGGCAGAAAGAGCCUGUUCCCCUCCCUCCUAACACCAAUGGACAGAACCUUCCUCUCUACCCCAAAGGACAGAAUACCAUAGGCAGACAGACUCAGGCCUCUACUCUCCCUACUACCCCAGAUGACAGAAGACCAUAAGCAGGCCAGGCAGACUCAGCCCUCUCCCCUCUCAACUCACCCCAUGGACAGAGAACCAUAGGGCAAAUACACUAUACACUGCGCUUUCCCCAGCGAACACAGACCUCUCUCCUCCCUAUUACCACCCCAUAGGACCAUGAGCAGACUGAUACAGCCCUCUUCCCUCCCUACUACCCCAGAGGACCAAUAGCAGCAUAAGACAUCCCCGAGGCCUGUUCCCCCUCCCUCCCCUCUCAGAAAGACUGGCGUGAUGAGUGACGGGUCCUCCUCCAGACAGCAUGUCUGGACCCACACUCCCUCAGCCAUGUCACAGUUCUUAGGGGCCCGGUGCACCAUAAACACAGUUUCCCACACACACACAGAGCCCAGUGACCAUUUUACUGCUCUUAAACAGUUUUUGUAGCUUUGGCCCCUUUUAAAGAGACCAAGAGUUGACAGGGAACUAGGCCAAAGUGUGUCUAUGAGUAUAUGAACGUGACUGUAUUGUUUAAGCCAAGUGACAUAUGUUCAGUGAAAGACCCUAGUAAAUUAAAGUAGAGUGGCCAAUGUGAUGUGAUCUUUGUUGUUUAGUUGAGGGUGUGGUGUCACUGUACCUCCAACAGGUGGCAGUCAUGUGCCAGGCAGUGUAACCAUAGAGGCCCUCAGUGGUGAAAUUAAAAAGGUUCUAGGUUUUAUUUUUAUCUGAAUAACUUUCAAUCAACACUAGAACUAGGUUUUAACAUUUAACACGUGGAAUUAGCAAUACAGAUGAUCCUAUCUCUGAUGAAUCAAUCUAUUUACAUGAUGUCAACUGUUUUUGGAUGCACUAUUUGAGCCAUUAGCGUUUUCUCACUUGCACAUUUCUCUGUAGUCUGUGCGCCUUCCUUCCACCACAUACCUUCCCAUGUUUUUUUUGAUGCAUCGUACACAAGUUAUGUGUUUGUUACUGUAUAGCUUCAAACCCCAUGUUAACCAGUAACAUUGAGGUACAUGUUUUCUCUUCAUCACUCUUAGGGUACUUUCUGUGUGGAGGUCAAAUAUCUCAAACAACUAUCUGUUGGGUUGACUGAUAUUACUUAUUCCCUCGUGUUGGAUUAUAUUUCACAGCUUCGAUAAAUCAAUAUAUCAGAGCCUUGUCCUUGUCUCGGAAUGUUGCAUUUUAUCCCAGCUCUAUUCCCACCACAACAAUCCAUUGCACUCCAUUCCCG
ensembl:lncRNA